rnacentral:rRNA from 1 species
GACGAAGGAUGCAAGCGUUAUCCGGAUUCAUUGGGUUUAAAGGGAGCGUAGGUGGCCUUAUAAGUCAGCGGUGAAAUCUCUGGGCUUAACCCAGAAAUUGCCAUUGAUACUGUAGGGCUUGAGUACAGUUGCUGUGGGCGGAAUAUGACAUGUAGUGGUGAAAUACAUAGAGAUGUCAUAGAACACCGAUUGCGAAGGCAGCUAACGAAACUAUCACUGACACUGAUGCACGAAAGCGUGGGGAGCAAACAGG